rnacentral:rRNA from 1 species
ACGGGUUGUAAACUUCUUUUGUACAGGAAUAAAAGACAUUACGUGUAGUGUAUUGCAUGUACUGUACGAAUAAGCAUCGGCUAACUCCGUGCCAGCAGCCGCGGUAAUACGGAGGAUGCGAGCGUUAUCCGGAUUUAUUGGGUUUAAAGGGUGCGCAGGCGGGAUUUUAAGUCAGCGGUGAAAUUUUCAGGCUCAACCUGAACACUGCCGUUGAAACUGGGAUUCUUGAGUAUGGAUGAAGUAGGCGGAAUUCGUUGUGUAGCGGUGACAUGCUUAGAUAUAACGAGGAACUCCGAUUGCGUAGGCAGCUUACUAAGCCAUAACUGACGCUCAAGCACGAAAGCGUGGGGAUCAAACAGGAUUAGAUACCCUGGUAGUCCACGCCGUAAACGAUGAUUACUAGUUGUUUGCGAUAUACCGUAAGUGACUAAGCGAAAGCGAUAAGUAAUCCACCUGGGGAGUACGCCGGCAACG